rnacentral:rRNA from 1 species
AUACGGAGGAUCCGAGCGUUAUCCGGAUUUAUUGGGUUUAAAGGGUGCGCAGGCGGCCAUUUAAGUCAGCGGUUAAAUCGUGGGGCUCAACCCCAUUCUGCCGUUGAUACUGGGUGGCUUGAUUGCGGUCGAGGCUGGCGGAAUUCGUUGUGUAGCGGGGAAAUGCAUAGAUAUGACGAAGAACACCGAUUGCGUAGGCAGCUGACCAGAUCGCAAAUGACGCUCAUGCACGAAAGUGCGGGGAUCGAACAGGAUUAGAUACCCUGGUAGUCCGCACAGUAAACGAUGAAUACUUGUUUUCGGCGAUAUAAUGUCGGAGGCAAAGCGAAAGCGAUAAGUAUUCCACCUGGGGAGUACGCCGGCAACGGUGAAACUCAAAGGAAUUGACGGGG